AGCAGCCGCGGUAAUUCCAGCUCCAAUAGCGUAUAUUAAGGUUGUUGCAGUUAAAAAGCUCGUAGUUGAAUUUUGGACGGGGCAGCGUGGUCCGCUCAAAUGGGCGAGUACUGCGCGGGCACGGUCUCACCUUCUGGCGAGACGGGAUGCUCUUAAGUGGGUGUCUCGUGGAGCCAGGACGAUUACCUUAGAAAAAUUAGAGUGCUACAAAGCGGGCUCAGGCUUGAAUAGAUUAGCAUGGAAUAACGGAAUAGGACUCGUGGUUCUAUUUCGUUGGUUUCUAGGAUCGCGGUAAUGAUUAAUAGGGAUAGUUGGGGGCAUUAGUAUUCAAUUGUCAGAGGUGAAAUUCUUGGAUUUAUUGAAGACUAACUACUGCGAAAGCAUUUGCCAAGGAUGUUUUCAUUAAUCAAAGAACGAAAGUUAGGGGAUCGAAGACGAUCGGAUACCGUCGUAGUCUUAACCAUAAACUAUGCCGACUAGGAAUCGGGCAUUGUAAUAAGAUGACUUGCUCGGA
rnacentral:misc_RNA from 1 species